GAGAGAGAGAGAGAGAGGGACAAACUAUUUUCACCUGCAACUGUCAUAAAGCAGAUGCAUAAUAUUUCAUCAUGAUUGAACAGAAAUUUAUUCAGCCUCCUGGACACAGACAUUACAAAAGAGGUGUUGACUAAAAUGAAAACGAUGAACGUGAACAGAAGAAAUCAAGUCCCAAUUGGUUUCACUUUAGGCAAUGAUCCUUACGAAAUCUUAGGUUUUGAAUUGAAAUCAGAAAAAGGGGGAAAAAGAAAAAACUACAUUCUUUUCCACCUCCCUCACCAAAAGUUGCUGCAAAGGAGACUGUCAUAAAGGCA
rnacentral:misc_RNA from 1 species